rnacentral:rRNA from 1 species
CAAUAGCGUAUAUUAAAGUUGUUGCAGUUAAAAAGCUCGUAGUUGGAUUUCGGGGCAGCCUGGCUGGUCCGCCGCAAGGCGAGUACUGGUCAGCCGCCCUUCCUCUCGAAAGCCCCGACUGCUCUUUAUUGCAGUGGUCGGGUAGUUCGGGACGUUUACUUUGAAAAAAUUAGAGUGUUCAAGGCAGGCCUACGCCUGAAUACAUUAGCAUGGAAUAAUGGAAGAGGACCUCGGUCCUAUUUUGUUGGUUUCCAGGACCGAAGUAAUGAUUAAGAGGGACAGUUGGGGGCAUUCGUAUUUAAUUGUCAGAGGUGAAAUUCUCGGAUUUAUGAAAGACGAACAACUGCGAAAGCAUUUGCCAAGGAUGUUUNCAUUAA